UGAAGCAAAGCGAAGGACAACCAAGGUGUUGCUUGGGGAAUUUUAGUGAAGCGUCCGCCUAAAUGCAGAGCAGUCAGUAUCACUGAAGAAUUCAGCGAGAAGAAUGUAGAGGACUGUGACAACCAUGACUGUCAAAACGUAAUAUAUAUGAGGCGUGGAUCAACAUUAAUGGAGUAGGUGGCAGUAAGGCAAAUUGAAUUCACCCAUUCUUUAUCGUGGGAGUUUUAAUGCUGUUUUGAUUAAAUGAAAUAGUUUGCAGACCUGUUGCGGAGCACGCAGGAAGUUGUCUGUCGGGCUGGAGGAAGCAGCUGACGUAUUUGUUGCAAACUGAGAUCUCCGUGACAGGCACAAAGGUAUGGUCCACCUGGCUCCUGGAGCAGCGAGGUGAACAGCAUCCGUCGCCGCAUACGCAUGUCAGGCCACAUGUGACAGUUGCGAGCAACGUAGACGACAUAGUGCUCCAGCCUUACCUGUGGUAUGAACAGUCUCCGCGCAGCCGGCUACUCGACCUUGGACGUCGGUUGGCAGUGAUGUCCAGCAGGGUGCAACCUUGUUCUGCAUAUUGAAAGCAGCGUGCUCACCGUAAGCGGCUAUGACGGCCAAAAUCUCCCCACCACGGACUUGGAACGACAAUCCGUCGAUCGGUAACAACUUGGGGCGAGACCGCCGAACAGCCGUUGACUCAAGCUGGAGAAGUUCAUCUGGAACGUCAGGUCUCGAACCUGCGUCAGAGUGGUCAGAUUUAUCGUCAGGACAACGAGGCAAUCGACACCAUUGCUCAAAAUUUCAACAAACGCGUUGUUGUGCACACACACACACAUAAUAAAGACUCAAAACAGCGCUGGCCGUAAGGCCAGAAGAGGGCGACGAUGGCGGCGUUUAGCGCCGAUGACGUACAAGACGAUUCACGCUUCGCGUACCACGAGUUCAACUAAUAAGUAUUUGCGGGGCAGAUUUUCGGUAACCUCAGGAGAGUUUGGGACGGGUCAUCGAAAUAGAGCAUCAGUAACACAGAGGAUUACGAAGUUACCAAGUUGGUAAUGGCAGAGGAAAUGCAAGGAGUGAAACGUUGGCGGAUGGCAUGAAUAGUCCAAAGAACGGAAAACCACGCACGACGGCAAAAUGCGAUGUUCAGGGCAGCGUAUUAUACUCGCUCUAUGUGUUUUUCACCAAGUCGCCAUGUGUCUCGGGACCCUUUUAACUCUGUGCUGCACAACGCAGAUUCUGUAUAGUGCGCCGUUUGAGACUUCGUAAUUUAAAUUCGCGCAUCUGAAACACAAGUAGUGAUAUUAAUUCAUGAUCACGUUAGCUUUACGUCCACUACAUGAAUGCAUCUCCCAGCGAUCUUUCUUUAUCGCUAUCCUGCGCCAGCUAUUUCCAACUUGCGCCUGUGAAUUUUCUCGUUAUCCCAUCUCGACUGCGCUUCGCUUUUCCUGGCACCCAUUUUGUAACUAUUACG